CCCGCAAUGGGCUUGUACUUACAGGAUAUGCAGCUUUAUGAUCGCUCUAUACAGAUAAAUCUCGGGUGUGCAGAUUUAUGAUCGCUUUGUACAGCUGAAUCCCGGGUUCCGCAAAGUUCAAAAUGCAGCGUAUGGAAAUGAAAUAAUCAGAGACUGAAAGUGCGGGGAAAGAAACUCCACGAGGCAGACAACCCCCUCCCUGUAAAGAAGGAGCAGCAGCUUUCACACGCUGAACAUACUGAGCCACAGAAACUGCAGGACCCAGGAUUCAGCUGUACAAAGCGAUAAUAAAUCUGCACACCCGAGAUUUAUCUGUACAAGUACAAGCCCAGUGCGGGCUGGCUGAUGACCUUGUCUGUACUUUACUAUGCACAGUUUUUUCCAUUAGGAACAACCAUGGAGGAGAUCCCUCCACACGCUAAAUCCACAGAAACUUCAGGACCCGAUAGUUGCACAGAGCGAACAUACAGCUGCAUACUCUGCAUAACUAUGGAGGAGAUCCACCUGUAUACAUACAUAUACGAACGCUACCUUUCUAAUUGAAUAUAUAAAGAAGCGCAAGAGUGCACCGCCAUUCUAUAUCCUAUAUGUAUCCCAAGGGACUAGUGGGUCCCACGAUUUAAGUGGGUGCUGCCAUACCAAUUCCAACAACACAAAGAGCGGAGUCUAUCUAUACACCAAUACUUGAAGAAAGCAUUUUAGAUCUUCAGCAGAACACAUGCUCCUGCGUAAAGAUGAACCACCCCUUUAACCUAUCCCUCUAACCCAGCUAAACAGACCGUGGAGAAACAUUAAUGGAAAUGAAUUUGAGAAUCACCAGUCAGAUGAGUUGGUUUAUAAAAUAAGGAAGACAUGGAACAGCAUACCAGUCUUGCACUCUCCUGUCACAAUCUCAUUCAAACCACAUGUGGAAGGACUGAUAAUGGAAGUUAAUGUGCCAUUCUUUGAUGAUCCAAAGUCACUUCCUGGUGAGCCAGGGGGAACUCUUUAAUGGUCUUUGGGAGUUUGAAGUGGUUGAAUCAUUUUUUCUGAACAACAGGACCACUCAAUAUCUGGAAGUAGAACUGUGCCCGUUCUGAUAAUAGGAUAUACUAGCAACUUAGUCGCAAUAAGGGCACGGGCAACAUCUGGUCCUUUUACUCUCUGGAGUUGGAAAUGCUUUUAAAUCAUCGUCUGGAAUAUUUUCGAGAAUUCAGUCUUAAAUGGAUUAUGGGAGAAGGCUGGGAACAACCUGCUUCUGACCUCUGGGAAUCAUCUCCUUGAAACUCUCCUUAUAUACAAUAUAUAUAUAUGUAUUUUUUAUCAUCUGUGUUAAAAAAGAUUAUCCCUGAUGGCAUUUAAUACUUAACAAGCCUCUUAUUCUUCCUCAUGACUGAAACUUAUAUGAUUAUGCAAAUUAAUAAAAUGAGCUUUUCACAGUGA